rnacentral:tRNA from 1 species
GGAGAGAUGGCAGAGCGGUUGAACGCGGCAGUCUUGAAAACUGUUGUCCGGGCAACCGGACCGUGGGUUCGAAUCCCACUCUCUCCGCCA